GACGAACGCUGACGGUGUGCUUUAGACAUGCAAGUCGAACGCGAAAGCCCUUCGGGGUGAGUAGAGUGGCGAACGGGUGAGUAACACGUGGGCAAUCUGCCCCUCGCAGGGGGACAACCGGAGGAAACUCCGGCUAAUACCCCGUACGCUUGUGGGAUCGCAUGAUCUUGCAAGGAAAGGUAGCUUCGGCCAUCCGGCGAGGGAGUGAGCCCGCGGUGCAUUAGCUAGUUGGUGGGGUAACGGCCCACCAAGGCGACGAUGCAUAGCUGGUCUGAGAGGAUGAUCAGCCACACUGGGACUGAGACACGGCCCAGACUCCUACGGGAGGCAGCAGUCGGGAAUCUUGCGCAAUGGGCGAAAGCCUGACGCAGCAACACCGUGUGUGCGACGAAGGCCCUUGGGUCGUAAA
rnacentral:rRNA from 1 species